rnacentral:rRNA from 1 species
UAAUACGUAGGGUGCAAGCGUUGUCCGGAUUUAUUGGGCGUAAAGAGCUCGUAGGCGGUUAGACACGUCGGAUGUGAAAACUGGAGGCUCAACCUCCAGCCUGCAUUCGAUACGGUCUGACUUGAAUGUGGUAGGGGUAACUGGAAUUCCUGGUGUAGCGGUGAAAUGCGCAGAUAUCAGGAGGAACACCGAUGGCGAAGGCAGGUUACUGGGCCAAUAUUGACGCUGAGGAGCGAAGGCGUGGGGAGCGAACAGGAUUAGAUACCCUGGUAGUCCACGCCGUAAACGGUGGGUACUAGAUGUGGGGACCUUUCCAUGGUUUCUGCGUCGCAGCUAACGCAUUAAGUGCCCCGCCUGGGGAGUACGGCCGCAAGGCUAAAACUCAAAGGAAUUGACGGGGGCCCGCACAAGCAGCGGAGCAUGCGGCUUAAUUCGAUGCAACGCGAAGAACCUUACCUAGGCUUGACAUAUAGAGAAAUCUCACAGAGAUGUGAGGUCC